UACGGGGGGAGCAAGCGUUGUUCGGAUUUACUGGGCGUAAAGCGCACGUAGGCGGAUCGUUAAGUCGGGGGUGAAAUCCUGGAGCUCAACUCCAGAACUGCCUUCGAUACUGGCGAUCUUGAGUCCGGAAGAGGUGAGUGGAACUCCUAGUGUAGAGGUGGAAUUCGUAGAUAUUCGCAAGAACACCAGUGGCGAAGGCGGCUCACUGGCCCGAUACUGACGCUGAGGCACGAAAGCGUGGGGAGCAAACAGG
rnacentral:rRNA from 1 species